GGACGUGUGGCCGAAUGGUAAGGCACUCACACCUUGAAACCGUGUAGUGCACGGGGACUAGCAGGCAUCUGGUAGUCUAGCGCUAUCUCAGCGGGUUUCCACUGAGAAGAACGUGAGGGAUUGUGCGUUCGAGUCGCACCAUGUCCA
rnacentral:tRNA from 1 species